CGCGCGGUGAUGACGCACUUCCGGGCGCCGGAAAGUGCACGCUCAUUUGGAUUCCGGGAGGAUUGAGGUGCUGAAGGAAAGCGGCGCCGGUCUGGAGAGACGUGCAGUGGCUUUGAGGGCGAAAAAAAAAGAAAAGGAAAAUUGUACGAGAAAGCAUGAGUACGGGCUCGCUGUUGUGCAGAUCUAAGGACUCGGACGGCUUCGUAACCGGAGGCUGGCUGCUAGGGAGGUCCCUCUCCAGGCUUUUUCUGUCCUCGAAACACGUUAUGAGAAGAGGAAUGUGGGAAAGAGAGAAAGGUUAAGUUAUGCCUUCUCCAAAGUCCUGUGAAACCACCACCAAGUCCUGAGACCCUUCGGUAGAAGAAGCAGGCGCGUAACCUCUCCUCCUCAAGGUCCCUCGGGUGUACAUCUCCGCUAGGGAGGGUUGUUUUCAUCUUCAAUUGUCUUUGGGCCAUCGCUCACUAGUACCUGUUGGCUUUGAGAGGGCUUGUGCACUCUUGUCUGCUUUUUCUUUGCGGGCAAAGCGGAUUUAUACAACACAGGACUUUCCUUUGUUGUAUAAAUACCAUUAACAACAGAUUUUGUAUUUUUUCUCUGACUGGCCCAUUUUUAUGAGCAAAAUACAGUUACCUAAAACACCCUGCAAGGUCGAUAGUGUUGAGCCCAAAAGUAAAGCUGUGUUUUGUUUCUAAACUUGGCUGUUUUUUCUCAGACACUAUAGUUUUUGUGAGACGGUGGUCCAUUUGAAGUUAAACAAAUUUUUUAUUUAUUUAUUUUAAAUUGUGUGUGUAUGUAUGUGCACAAGAGUGCAGGUGCCUACCCAAAGGCAUUAGAUCCCAUGGAGGUGAAGUUACAGAUGAUUGUGAGGGUGUUGGGAACCAAAAGUUGGGUCCUCUGGAAGAGACGUAAAUGCUCUUAACCACUGAGCCAUUUCUCCAACUCCAAAAGCUAUCGUUUUUAAAGAACCUAUAAAUGUUUAUUCCUCCAGGGAAUGACUCUACUUUAAUGUAUUUGUCACUGUUUCCUUUCUCCUCACCUGUUUGUUACUUUAGACUGCUAUAAAUGUAAUAUAUAAAUAUUAAAUAAUGUCUCUGACCCUCUAUGUGUCACCCAGUUUCGACAAUCCUCUCAUUACCUUUCCUUCCUUGAAUUAUUGGAUAUUUUGAAGAAAACCUAUGGUAGUUAGCAUCCAGGACUGUAGUUCUCUGACCAUCUCCCUCAUCUACAGUCAGUGACAUCUCUAUGGCUCUUGCCUGAGCCAUAAUUGGUUGAUACUUGUUGAUAAAAUGAAACAAUUGAUUGCUCUGACUGCUGUAAUGAAACACUUCAGGCUGGGCAGCUUAUAAACAACAGAAAUUUCUCAAAAUUCUGAAGGCAAUGAAAUCCAAGACCAAGACACCCUCAGUCUUUGGAGGUGGCUGACAUCCCUCACCAGAGUUCCUCACUGCUAAGUGAGGCACGUGAUAGAAAGGACAAUGAGCUUCCCCAAACCUGCUUUAUAAGAACACCAGUCAUACCGUAAGGACCCCACCCUAAACCCUGCCAUCUCCCACUAUCGUUUCAAUAUGAACCAUCACACUCCCUAAAAUGUUGCUGUAGCUUUGGAGCCUAUGCUGGCACUCGCUCUAGAGACCAGGCUGGCCUCGAACUCACAGAGAUCCGCCUGCCUCUGCCUCCUGAGUGCUGGGAUUAAAGGCAUGUGCCACCAACGCCCGGCCUGAAUAGGUUCUUAAGGGUUGGGGCUUGGGUCAGUGAAAUGGCUCAAUGGAUAAUGGUCCUUACACCAAGCCAGAUUCAUCCCCAGGAUCCGUGUGAUUAAGGAGAGAGAUGAUUCCUGCAAGUUGUCCUCUGACCUCUAGACACAUGCUCACCCACACAAAGUAAAUAAAAUACAAAGAUUUUUAAGAUUUUUUUUUUUAAAUUUUAAGAUGGAGCCUGCUUGGGGGAAGUAGGUCACUGGGGCCAUAUCUUUGGAGGCUCUCUCUUCUCCUCCUCUUCCUCUACCUUCUUUUUCUCAGUCUUUCUAUAUCUCUCUUCCUGGCACUUAAGGCACACAUCCUCCGGGACUACAAGUUCCUGCCACCAUGGUGGUCAGCCUCACCAGAGUCCUGAAGCCCAUGGAGCCUGCCAGCCAAGGACUGACUCCUGAAAAUAUGAAGCAGUGCAAACCUGUACUCUUCAGAGCUGACCCAGGAUCGCCAAGAGAAGAGAGGAAAGGAAGGAAGGUGGGAAUGAGAAACAAGAGGAGGAAAAGAAGCCAGGAAGGAUGGUGCUCCUCAAGUGCAUAUGCCCUUCCCUCCAGGAUGGAUCAGCUCAUUCCCUGUGGUUUCAUUGGCCAGUUGUCCUGUGUUUCUGGAAUUCCUGGCAGUUCCAAGUCUCCAUUUCAGCUUAGACUUCACAUCCACAGCUUUACAUGUCCUCUUGGGGACUGCCUGUAGGAUCCUGAUUGUCACAUGCUGCCUGGCCUUCAAGCCUUCCUUUGAAAUACAGGUGUCCUCCCUCAGGACGUGUUGCAAGAUUGACUAAUACACAGCAGUGUCUCAACACGGUGAUGUGCACUGCAGGUGCUGGGAGCUCCAGAGCCACAAAGCAUUUAAGUGGCACCCAUCACUUUGACCUCAGACCACCUGUGUCGUGAUCUGGACUUCUUACCACCACAGCCAGUCCCAGACUACAUCCAGUUCUUUGCCCAAGGAUGGGAAAACAUUCGCAUGAGUGGAUUAACACUCCUUUGUCAAGGCAGCAGCAAGCACCUUCUUCAACAGCCCCCUUUCUCUCCCUGAAGCCCCUGAAAUCACUGUCUGCAGAAAAAAGACUGACCAGCUUCCUCUUUCUGACCCUAGAAAUUAAUUUGGGGAUGGAGGAGGAGUGU